rnacentral:rRNA from 1 species
UGCCAGCCGCCGCGGUAAUACGGAGGGGGUUAGCGUUGUUCGGAAUUACUGGGCGUAAAGCGCACGUAGGCGGAUCGGAAAGUUGGGGGUGAAAUCCCAGGGCUCAACCCUGGAACUGCCUCCAAAACUACUAGUCUUGAGUUCGAGAGAGGUGAGUGGAAUUCCGAGUGUAGAGGUGAAAUUCGUAGAUAUUCGGAGGAACACCAGUGGCGAAGGCGGCUUCCUGGCCUAAUACUGACACUGAGGCGCGAAAGCGUGGGUAGCAAACAGGAUUAGAUA